rnacentral:rRNA from 1 species
GACGAACGCUGGCGGCGCGCUUAACACAUGCAAGUCGAGCGAUGAAAUUUCGACAGCUCCCUUCGGGGUGAAGAUGAAAUGGAUUAGCGGCGGACGGGUGAGUAACACGUGAGUAACCUGCCUUUGACAUUGGGAUAGCCUCGGGAAACUGGGAUUAAUACCAAAUGACACUAACUGAUCACAUGAUCAAUUAGUCAAAGAAAUUCGGUCAAAGAUGGACUCGCGGCUGAUUAGCUAGUUGGUGAGGUAACGGCCCACCAAGGCGACGAUCAGUAGCCGGCCUGAGAGGGUGAUCGGCCACAGUGGAACUGAGACACGGUCCAAACUCCUACGGGAGGCAGCAGUGGGGAAUAUUGCACAAUGGGGGAAACCCUGAUGCAGCGACGCCGCGUGAGCGAAGAAGGCCUUCGGGUCGUAAAGCUCUUUUAUGAGGGAAGAUAAUGACGGUACCUCAAGAAAAAGCCCCGGCUAACUACGUG